rnacentral:rRNA from 1 species
UGGCGGACGGGUGAGUAACGCGUGGAAAACCUGCCGUAUACUGGGGGAUAACACUUAGAAAUAGGUGCUAAUACCGCAUAAGCGCACAGCUUCGCAUGAAGCGGUGUGAAAAACUCUGGUGGUAUACAAUGGUUCCGCGUCUGAUUAGCUAGUUGGUGGGGUAAUGGCCUACCAAGGCAACGAUCAGUAGCCGGCCUGAGAGGGUGAACGGCCACAUUGGGACUGAGACACGGCCCAAACUCCUACGGAAGGCAGCAG